rnacentral:rRNA from 1 species
GAUGAACGCUGGCGGCGUGCCUUAGGCAUGCAAGUCGAACGGUUUUCGUAAGAAAGCAGUGGCAGACGGGUGAGUAACGCGUAGGAAUCUACCUCUGGGAGGACCAUAGCUCAUCGAAAGAUGGGGUAAUAGUCCAUAAAUCUCGCAAGAGAAAAGGUCUUAACUGGCCGCCGAGAGAGGAGCCUGCGUCCUAUCAGCUAGUUGGCGGGGUAAAUGCCCACCAAGGCGAUGACGGGUAGCUGGACUGAGAGGUCGAUCAGCCACAACUGCACUUGAGACACGGGCAGUACACCUACGGGAGGCAG